GUGCCUAAUACAUGCAAGUAGAACGCUGAAGAGAGGAGCUUGCUCUUCUUGGAUGAGUUGCGAACGGGUGAGUAACGCGUAGGUAACCUGCCUUGUAGCGGGGGAUAACUAUUGGAAACGAUAGCUAAUACCGCAUAACAAUGGAUGACACAUGUCAUUUAUUUGAAAGGGGCAAAUGCUCCACUACAAGAUGGACCUGCGUUGUAUUAGCUAGUAGGUGAGGUAACGGCUCACCUAGGCGACGAUACAUAGCCGACCUGAGAGGGUGAUCGGCCACACUGGGACUGAGACACGGCCCAGACUCCUACGGGAGGCAGCAGUAGGGAAUCUUCGGCAAUGGGGGCAACCCUGACCGAGCAACGCCGCGUGAGUGAAGAAGGUUUUCGGAUCGUAAAGCUCUGUUGUAAGUCAAGAACGAGUGUGAGAGUGGAAAGUUCACACUGUGACGGUAGCUUACCAGAAAGGGACGGCUAACUACGUGCCAGCAGCCGCGGUAAUACGUAGGUCCCGAGCGUUGUCCGGAUUUAUUGGGCGUAAAGCGAGCGCAGGCGGUUUGAUAAGUCUGAAGUUAAAGGCUGUGGCUCAACCAUAGUUCGCUUUGGAAACUGUCAAACUUGAGUGCAGAAGGGGAGAGUGGAAUUCCAUGUGUAGCGGUGAAAUGCGUAGAUAUAUGGAGGAACACCGGUGGCGAAAGCGGCUCUCUGGUCUGUAACUGACGCUGAGGCUCGAAAGCGUGGGGAGCGAACAGGAUUAGAUACCCUGGUAGUCCACGCCGUAAACGAUGAGUGCUAGGUGUUGGAUCCUUUCCGGGAUUCAGUGCCGCAGCUAACGCAUUAAGCACUCCGCCUGGGGAGUACGACCGCAAGGUUGAAACUCAAAGGAAUUGACGGGGGCCCGCACAAGCGGUGGAGCAUGUGGUUUAAUUCGAAGCAACGCGAAGAACCUUACCAGGUCUUGACAUCCCGAUGCUAUUUCUAGAGAUAGAAAGUUACUUCGGUACAUCGGUGACAGGUGGUGCAUGGUUGUCGUCAGCUCGUGUCGUGAGAUGUUGGGUUAAGUCCCGCAACGAGCGCAACCCCUAUUGUUAGUUGCCAUCAUUCAGUUGGGCACUCUAGCGAGACUGCCGGUAAUAAACCGGAGGAAGGUGGGGAUGACGUCAAAUCAUCAUGCCCCUUAUGACCUGGGCUACACACGUGCUACAAUGGUUGGUACAACGAGUUGCGAGCCGGUGACGGCAAGCUAAUCUCUUAAAGCCAAUCUCAGUUCGGAUUGUAGGCUGCAACUCGCCUACAUGAAGUCGGAAUCGCUAGUAAUCGCGGAUCAGCACGCCGCGGUGAAUACGUUCCCGGGCCUUGUACACACCGCCCGUCACACCACGAGAGUUUGUAACACCCGAAGUCGGUGAGGUAACCUUUUGGAGCCAGCCGCCUAAGGUGGGAUAGAUGAUUGGGGUGAAGUC
rnacentral:rRNA from 1 species